AAAAGACUUAGUCCUAACCUUACCGUUAAUUCUUGCUAGACAUAUACAUGCAAGUAUCCGCGCCCCAGUGUAAAUGCCCUCGAAUCCUUGCUAAGGGGAGAGGAGCGGGUAUCAGGCGCACACACAGCUGUAGCCCAAGACACCUUGCUCAGCCACACCCCCACGGGUACUCAGCAGUAAUUAACAUUAAGCAAUAAGUGCAAGCUUGACUUAGUUAUAGCAAUUCCAGGGUUGGUAAAUCUUGUGCCAGCCACCGCGGUCACACAAGAGACCCAAAUUAACCGUAUACGGCGUAAAGAGUGGCACUAUGAUAUCACAGUGACUAGGAUUAAGAUGCAACUAAGCUGUCAUAAGCCCAAGGUGUACUUAAGAUCACCUUUAAGAUGAUCCUAGUACUUCUGAUUGAUUUAACCCCACGAAAGCUAGGGCACAAACUGGGAUUAGAUACCCCACUAUGCCUAGCCCUAAAUCUCGAUGCUUGCCGUACCAAAGCAUCCGCCCGAGAACUACGAGCACAAACGCUUAAAACUCUAAGGACUUGGCGGUGCCCCAAACCCACCUAGAGGAGCCUGUUCUAUAAUCGAUAACCCACGAUUCACCCGACCACCUCUCGCCAAAGCAGCCUACAUACCGCCGUCGCCAGCUCACCUUCCCUGAAAGCCCAAUAGUGAGCACAAUAGCCUAACCUGCUAGUAAGACAGGUCAAGGUAUAGCCCAUGAGGUGGAAGAAAUGGGCUACAUUUUCUACGAUAGAAAACCCACGAAAGGGGGCAUGAAACAGCCCCCGGAAGGCGGAUUUAGCAGUAAAGCGGGACAAUAAAGCCCUCUUUAAGUUGGCCCUGGGGCACGUACAUACCGCCCGUCACCCUCCUCAUAAGCCACCAACAACCAUAACUAAUAAACCUUAUGGCUAAAGAUGAGGUAAGUCGUAACAAGGUAAGUGUACCGGAAGGUGCACUUAGCAUAUC
rnacentral:ncRNA from 1 species